rnacentral:tRNA from 2 species
GAAAUAGGAUAUUCAAGAAUAAGCUUCUAACUUAAUUCUUUAGCGAUGUAAUUUCGUUAAUAUUUCU